UAUACUCGGUGUUUGACUUGCACUGCAGGGAAUGACAUUGAACAUUUUUCUGGACUACAGAACCAGCUGCACAAGCACACAACUGAAUGUCACUGACCAAUUCAACUCUGUCCGAUUAUCUUCCCGGGGAGAAUAGGAGGACAUUCAGCCCCUCUCUUCCUCCUUUCUAAAAACUGUUGUAAUUGAGAAGAAAAUCACAACUUCAAUUUACUUGGAGCCAAGGUAUCAAGGACUGUGGAGCACAGGCAGGGUUCUUUUGAUUGAAGACCCUGACCUGGAGUUACACGCUGACUUCGGUUCUUUACCGGAAUGGGGUUUCACAACCGGCCAUAGUUCGGCACGCCAAGGGCUCAGCCUAAGAGUCAGACUUGGACUUGGAAGCCGAGGAUCUUGGAGCCCCUGGAGAUGGGCGGAUCGAGGGUCAGUGUCAUGGCAGGAGACCUGUGUGCUGUUGGGGGAGUCAGGAUAUCUGAGACUGUGUGCCCAGAGACCCGAGAUCUUUGAGAUCUUCAGGCACAGAGCUCGGAAAAAGCGACAUAACGGACUUUUAACAUCGCACACCAGUGAGUUGUUUGUUAUAUCUCCCCGCUCGCUGGGAAAAACAAAGACACCUCCUUCUCCCUUAUUAGGGAGAGAGCGAAAGCCUGUGGUAUGUCGAAUACUGUGAAAUGCGAAAUCUUUGGGGUAACUGCAAGUCUGUGUCUUUGUUAUUGCUUUGCUCAUGCCUGGGUGUUUGGUGGCGGUGCUGAUGCUUUUUUUGCCGGUGGGGGGAGGUUGGGAUUGUUGCUCCCUGCCGUUUAUGGGCGGGAGAGAGGGGAGCUGGAAGGUACUUUGGGGUUCUAACUGUCUUCAUUCUUUGGGGUACUCCUCUGUUUUCGUGGAUGUUUGCAAAGAAAAAGCAUUUCAGAAUGUAUAUUGUAUACAUUUCUCUGACAUUAAAUUGGACCUUUGAACUUUGAACUGGCUAAUAGUUCCCGGCUUCCAUUUCCCUCCCUUUCGAACACCGGAGAGCCAAAGGCUGUUUUCCAACUUCUGGUAUCUGUCUGGAAUUUAGUAAGCUUUGAAAAAUUCCAACCAAUGGACUCGCUAUCUCUGUAGCCAUUUCCUUUAAAAUCCCAGGGUUUAGGCUAUUUUGUCUUAGUAUUUGUCCACUUUUACCCUUGUGAUGGAGGCUUUUGCAGGU